GACGAACGCUGGCGGCGUGCCUAAUACAUGCAAGUCGAACGCACUGGGGACGGGUGAGUAACACGUGGGUAACCUCCCAUCAGAGGGGAUAACCCUUGGAAACAGGUGCUAAACCGAUACUGAUGGAUGGACCCGCGGGGCAUUAGCUAGUUGGUGAGGUAACGGCUCACCAAGGCGACGAUGCAUAGCUGGCCUGAGAGGAUGAUCGGCCACACUGGGACUGAGACACGGCCCAGACUCCUACGGGAGGCAGCAGUAGGGAAUCUUGCGCAAUGGACGAAAGUCUGACCGAGCAACGCCGCGUGAGUGAAGAAGGUUUUCGGAUCGUAAAACUCUGUUGUUGGGGAAGCGGUAUCUGACGAGAAAGCCCCGGCUAACUACGUGCCAGCAGCCGCGGUAAUUC
rnacentral:rRNA from 1 species